rnacentral:rRNA from 1 species
UACGGAGGGUGCGAGCGUUGUCCGGAAUCACUGGGCGUAAAGGGCGCGUAGGCGGCCUGAUAAGUAGGGGGUGAAAUCCUGCGGCUUAACCGCAGGGCUGCCUUCUAAACUGUCAGGCUUGAGCACAGUAGAGGCAGGUGGAAUUCCCGGUGUAGCGGUGGAAUGCGUAGAGAUCGGGAAGAACAUCAGUGGCGAAGGCGGCCUGCUGGGCUGUUGCUGACGCUGAGGCGCGACAGGCGUGGGGAGCAAACAGG